rnacentral:lncRNA from 1 species
GAGAACGCAGAGGGAGGGAGGCAGGGAGGGAGACCAAACCCCCGCUUUACUGCGUUGAAAGCUUCUGAAUUUCAAGCAGAAAGUAGAAGGAGCUCCAAAGGCAGUGAGCGUCUUUCCUUGGGCUGCGUGUGCCGAGCGUAGACAAUGAAAAUCUUCAUCCCCCUCCCCCAUUCUACUAGGCUACAAGAUUCUUGUUUUCGUUCCUUCUCACCGGUGGAAGAUGUGUAAAAUCAAAGAUGUAGAGGUGUGUAGUGAUUUUUUUAAAAGCCAACUAACCACCGCACGGACUGCGACGCGGAUUACCCGAGCGCACGCCGGCUGGGCGCAUUCUGGGGUCUCUGCGCAAGACCAGCUCUCAGCUCUCUCUCCUUUCCUCGGACUCUGGAGCGGGAGCGGGCCUUUCCCUCGGGUCGACCACGCCGUAGGGGACGCCGUGAAAAGAGCCGUCGCGCCCGCUGCCUCCUGCCCGCUGCGCAGAGGGCUCCGCCCGUAGAGGUCUGAAAUUAAAGCUUCUCGGAAUAAUUUAGGAACAGCUUGACCCGUUGAGAUACUCAAGGACAACCCUCCAGGGAAAUAGUAUGUUUCCUUCCUGGGAACAAGAUGCUAGCGCGGUGCACCGGGAGGUAUCUGGUGUCAACAAUGCCAGAGCGCCCUCUGCUGCCUCAAAGAGGCAGGACACCAGUUACAAAAGCCAGAUGGCACAGUGGCAAUAAGCGGAGGAAACAUUAAGCUCUUAGAAACGUUUAAUCUGUGAAAUUUAAAAGCUCUCAUCAUAUUCUACUUUUGAAAGGGCCACCUGAUUUUGAUUUUGAGCACUCCUUGGAUGUUAUCUUCUAUUCUGGAGGAUAAUGAAAAGUCCGUGUUUUGAAGUUUUCAGAUUAUUUCUGUAGUUAUAUUUCUCCACUCUUUCUCGAAUUUUAUAUGGAAAUACGAAAUUGCAAAUCUAAGUGAAAAACCUUUGUGUAAAACAGGUGAGUGGAGAAGACGUCCUGGUUUCUCCAAAUAACUAAGAUCUAAUAAAGAAACAAAUCUUAAUUAAAAUAAAGAUACCGAGCACAUGUUGUUGUGUUAGUUUAAAACGAUAAUAAAAAGAAAGAAAUUAAGUCUCGAUGUAAAUCAUUGUUUUGUUGUUUUGUUUCAGUGAUUAACCCAAAUUUUGACCAGACUUGAAGUUUUGAAAUAAGAAAGUGAAUUAUUUUAAAGAAGAAGAAAAAUUUGCUUCUUAUUAAUAUGUACAAUAUUUUUGCCCUUAAAACCUUUGCAAUACAUUUAUACACACACACUCAGCUUGCAAAGCCUUCUUUAGAAAAUAACCCACUCUGAGUAGAAGUAAUGAGAUAUGGUAGCAGCAUGGGCAAAGCCAUAAGAAACGUUAUUUGCAUUAAAAAUGAGUUUUUCAGUAUGGAAAAUCAAUUACCAAAUGAAAUAGAGAUUUUUUUUAAAGGUUCAAACCUUUUCAAAUUUUUAUGUUAUAGGGUUUAUAUUGAUUAAAAUAAAUGUACGUUUGUAGUUAUUCAACAUUAUGAAUUUCAAGAUGGCCACCUAUUUUGAAACGCACACCUUUGCCAUGAAGUCUGUUGUUGCAUAUAUUAGUGCUGAUGUAAUAAAAUGCUUCUAUUAACUAUGUGGUUGUUAAUAAAUCUUGUAAAAAUAAAGUUCUGUUUAUUUUAUGGUGUCAGAACAAAAUAGCUGUUUAAAAUCACUUAUUUUAGUCUUAGCUUUUAAAUCAAAAUGCCUAUAAGAAUAUUAAGUUCUAAGAUUGUUGAGAAUACUAAGAUAAAAUUAAAAAUUGUAUGAUUUUACAAUUUGCUAUAAUUUAAAAAUCUUGUAUUGAUUAAAUGUUAAAUCAGGUUAAAUAUUUGACCAAUUGUGUCAAGUUCCGUAUAAAUAUGGGUACAUUUGUCUUCUGAAAGCUAUUUCUCCAAAGAAUGCACUUACGAAUGUAUG